rfam:Gossypium arboreum cultivar AKA8401 contig_23734_3, whole genome shotgun sequence.
AAAUCAUGCAUCAGGCAUUUUCUAAUCAAUUCCUUGAAUCGCUCCCGAGCUUUAUACAAUGUCUCAUCAUCAAAUUGCUUAAAAGAUAUAAUAUCAUUCCUUAAUUU